UACGGAGGGUGCAAACGUUGCUCGGAAUCAUUGGGCGUAAAGCGCACGUAGGCGGCCUGUUAAGUCGGGUGUGAAAUCCCUGGGCUCAACCCAGGAAGUGCACUCGAAACUGGCGGGCUUGAAUAUGGAAGAGGGUCGCGGAAUUCCCGGUGUAGAGGUGAAAUUCGUAGAUAUCUGGAGGAACACCAGUGGCGAAGGCGGCGACCUGGGCCGAUACUGACGCUGAGGUGCGAAAGCUAGGGGAGCAAACGGG
rnacentral:rRNA from 1 species